UUAUGGCCUGUCUCCACACACCCGAGAGACUGCAAAACAUCGACUUGCGGUGACUCAGCUUUAUAAAUAGGACAUUUACAGCGAAAAUUAAGGGAAAUUUGCAGAGUCUCCUGCCUGGGCUUAUUUUAGGUGUGCAGCUUACACGAGUGAAGUCCCGCCGGCCAUCCUCCAGUCUCCGCUCCCUACGGCAUCCUUGGGUAUCUGAGAGGAACAAGGAAGGGAGGCGUCCAUCUCCAGUCUUAUUCAGACACUGCUGAAGGAGACGAGCAGCUACAUUUGUCUCACUUCCCAUGUGUCAGACACUGGGCUGAGCUUUUAACCUGUGUUAUCUCACUGAAUUUACUUACUCUCAGGAAGAAGAAUGUGGCAGAAAGGGUGAUGUGUAAGCCGGCUGUCAUCUAAGAAGUCUGACUACCCUGAGAUCACCAUGUCAUGAGGAAGCCCAACCUCUCCACGUGGAGACAGAGAAGUCAUGUGGAGGAGCACAUAAGUGACAGCACUUGGCACAACGCUGGACUGACAUGCAGCUGUGGCAGGGCAGGCCCUGGAGGAGGAGCCCACUCAAGAGUCACAUCCACCGUCUUCAAAUGCCUCUGUCAUGAAGACCCUGCUGAAGACCAUCUUCCAACCAGCUUCUCAAAGUGUAGUCCUCAGGCCACCAGUGGCAGAAUCAUGAGAUGGGAGUGGGGGCUGUUAAAAAUGUUAAUUCUUAGCCCCCUCUACAGUUAUCCAAGGAUCUCUGGUCGCACAAUGGUUAAGCACUCGGCUGCUAACCAAAAGGUCAGUAGUUUGAACUCACUAGCCACUCGAGGGAGAAAAGACCUGGCAAUCUAAUC